rnacentral:tRNA from 2 species
GCGCCUGUAGCUCAAUUGGAUAGAGCAACGGCCUUCUAAGCCGUAGGUUGCAGGUUCGAGCCCUGCCAGGCGCG